GUUACAAAGUGACGCAUGUUUGACACGGAAGUAAAGGCUGGACUACAAUAGAGCUGUUUGGAGCAGUGUGUGAACAAGGUUUUCUGUUGGAGAUGGUAAGUCUCUUUGGGGUUGACUUUGGGCUUUUUCACUUUGUAAACCUAUUACAUGCACAAAAAAGAUAUAAAACACAAUAAAGGAACGGGAAAAGGCCAAAACGCA